GCGGGGCGGCUCCAAGGCCGAGCGGGGCCGCCGGGCAGGUGGAGUGUCCGCGUGAUGCGGGGUCUGCGAUGCCGGGUCUGGCGUCCCGGGGGAACCCGAGCUGCGGUUCCGCCGUCUGCAGUUCGGCGAGCGCCAGCAGGGGCUCCUGGUCGCCCAUGGGGCCGUGGAGAGGCUCCGGCUCGGGGUGGGGUGGUCACCGGAAGUGGUGCGGGGAAGGCGAGGCCGAGCCGCUCGGAGCCGGGGCCAGCCCGAGGCACAGCCCGUGGGCGGCGAGGGGCCCGGGGAGGAUUUACUGGCGGGAAUCACAGGGCUGUGAGAGUAGAAACUGAGCUGUCUUUGGAGGAAAUGUGGCAACGUCCUGAAAAUACUGCAGGCGGGUAUUUCCCCAUCAGUAACACGCCAGCGCUGUUGGUUGCGUGGCUGCUGGCUUUGUAACUGGCGUCAGUGUAAGCCAGGUUCUCCUGCUGAGAACGGGCUGGAAGUGUUUUGGGUGACUCAGAGCUAUUAUUUGGAUGAAUUGUACACCUUGGGGAAAACUGCAUUGAAAAGUUGGCUAUUACGGUUCUAGAAAGCAAAUUAAAGGGAACUCUGUGAACAGGUUGAUAGGAAUUGACAAUAUUUAUUAAACGUAGGGAUUAAAAGAUACUCAAAUAGUGGUUUAUUUAUUUCCAAACUGUAACUGUAUUUAGUUGUGACAUAUUCACGAGCACAGAUUCACAGGUGACGUUAAGAGUCCCAGUUCCUCAGAUACCUUGCUGAGGUUAUCUGUGCUGAGGAGACUGGGAGCCCAUAGGCACGUGUGGAUGGAUUCUAUACUGGUUUUUUCUAACUCACAGACGAGAAAUUAGAUGGCGCUCUGAAAUACUUGAGGUGCCCCAAAACGAAGUACAGACCUUUACGAAUAUCAAGAUCUUGAAAAAAACACUUUUGUUCAGGAUUUACAUGUAAUUUUUCAUAAUGUUAAAGCAAAACAGAUGCCUAACUUUGUUAACAAUGAGUGAUUCCUCUUUUAGAAGACCUGUUUGAAGUGAAUAAGGCUAAUUCACUUGGCUGAUUUCACAAAAUGGGGAUCAGGUCUUUUCUAUGAAAAAUACAUUUUAAGCAAAAUCUUUUGAGCUAGGAAGGCACUUCUGUUUCACAAAAAGAUGUUGCAGUGGAAAGCUUAUGACCACUAAUAAAGGAAAAACAAUCACCCUCAAAUGUUUAGGUAGUCUACUAUAUACACCAAGGUAUUUGGGGUAAUUUUUGCUUUGUUUUUAAAACAAAACCAUGUAAUGAUUUAUUUCUGCAGAGGAGUAAUUAAUUGAACCAUGAUAUUAAUUUAUUAUCAUUUAUUUAUCAUUGUAUAUUUGAAUUAGCAACAAAAACACUCCUUGUGCAGGAUACUGGAGAGCUUAUCAGCAUCUAAAAUCUUCUGAAGUGAGACCCUAUGUUAUGUGGGCAUAGCAGAGAAAGGCAAUAGAGAAGCUCAAGAGUGAAGCAAUGUGCUAUUUCUUGGUGGGCUGAUAUUGUGACUGUCUCUGGGAGCUGUGAUUUCUAGGUGGAAGCUUGCCUCUGUUUUGACUUGACACUGCAGGUGCAGCUGACUAUCUGUGUCUCAUGAGGUCUCUGAACAAAAGUUGCAAUGCUAAGUUGUCAGUGUUUGGAAUACUUGCAGACCCUGUAACAGGAAGCGUAACAGGGCAGUGCUGAACAAGUCUCACAUGCAGAAUAACAGUUUUGACAUGAGUUCUGGAAGAUGACUUUCAGAAUAGUUCAUGAGUACAUCUUGAUGAAGCCAUUUUUCCUCAUUUAUUCCAGUUCCUGAAAGAAACAGCAAACAAACAGGAGUAUUUCAUAUCUGAAUUUUGUCCUCAUUUUUUCAUUUCUGUACUCAUCUGACACAUUUCCUCACGCUGUUCCUUCUGCUCUGUUCAUAUGGAGAUCAUCUGGCCCUUAUGCUGGUGAGAACUCUUCUCCAGGAUUCAGUGUGGACAAAGACUGCAAAUUCAUUGCCAAACAGAUCGGUUUCACAGACUUAUCUUUUUCUAAACUGGAAAAGAGCAUGCUUGCUUAAACUCCUCCAGUGAUUAAAAAGGGAAUUUUCAGAUAUGCUGAAUGAAAUGGAGAGUAAACUGAAAUUACCUUUCUCUUUGAAAAACUUGAAACACCUUUUACACCCUGCAAGCAGUACUUGAAUUGUUGUUCUUUGCUGGUGAUUCAAUAACCAAAAUGUUAUUUGUAGUGUCUUUGUAGCAGGCUGCACAGAUUAGGAAUUUAGUCACUGCUAUUAAUACUCUUCCCGAAGCGGAAAACCACAACUAAGGGACUGAAAUAUGAAGAAAGAGUGGGGGAUGGAAGAAAAAUGAAAAGCUGCAGCAUACCUUUGUCCAAGGUUUUCAUUUGUGUCUAACCUUCUCUGUCAUUUCUAUCCUUCUAAUUCUUUCAGGAUAUGAUAGAAAAAUGUCCUCUUUGACUACAGAAAAGCACUCUCAAAUUUCUGUGCCACUACUUGAAACAUAGUGAUGCUUUUAAUGCAGACAUUUUCCGUGGCCUUAACUGCUCACAGGUCUGUACCAAAACCAAAGUAGCCACUGUGAAUACCUAGUAAGUACUGUUCAUAAACAUUUUUAUAAUGUUUGACCUUAAGAGUGACCUGAAGAUUAAUGGAUAUGUUGUAUCAGUUUUAAUGGGUCUCUUUUCUCUUGGAUACACACAUGUGACUCCCAUUAGUCUUAAUGGGAGUUAUAUGUGUGCCUAGAGGUUAGACAAGAUCUCUAAAGGUGCUGUUAUGCUCUGUUGUAUUAACGAUCUCAUAAUUGCUGAGGUGCUGCACCUUUGCAUUGAAAGCAAACUAAUUAAAUUGGUCUAGUAUAAGUUGGUAUACUAGCAUACCCAGCACGUAUGUGUGUUUUCCUGUGAGUCUCUCAGUACACAGAGGUACCGGCCAAAUCAAAUGUGGAAUUCAAUUUUUUUGUGUGACUUGACUUCCUUUGUAAUUGUUCUUUGUAAUUCAAAAUGAUUUCAUGAGUUUGAUUCCUAAGAAAGAUGAUUGUUCGUGUGAGUACAGGGGAAGAAGCUGAAUGUGAUGUUUUAUUUUAUCAUUAAAGGAUGUAGUGAGAAAAGACUGAAUUGAUUCUUAUUUUGAUGUUGCAAAUCAUGCACUUUGAAAAAAGGCAGUUAAGUCUCAAGGAUUAACCUGAAGCUUGAUGUUGAAUUUUAAUUAUGGCUUUGUUACUCGUUUCUUCCAAGUGCCUUUAGACAAAGCACUUCACCUUUCUUUGAUUUCCAGAUAUGUAAAAUAUCUACUUGCUUCUUAGUGUUGCAGACAUAAAUUAAUAUGUGUUCUAUACUUUGGAAUUUUAAGAUUGGAGCAUCCAACUGUAUUCUGUUGGCAUAAUUAUGACAGCACAGGAGGAGAAAAAAUCAUAGUAUCUACCUGGUACAGCCGAGCAGAAGUCCUAGUGAUGAUGUAGAUCUGUCAAGAGAACUGAUUCUGUUCCAUAGUUUAUGAUGUGUAAGACAGUGCAUUGGUAAUGAAAAAAAUUUGGUACGUUUUUUGGUGGAAAAGAUUGUACAGUAGGCAAAUUGACAUUGUAUAGACAUUUGACAUUUUCAUAGAUAAAAAUAAUAAUUAGAAUCAGAUAGUCACUGUGAAAAUUCGUAUGUCUUAUUCCCUGUCUCCGUGCAUUUGAAAAUCAACCAUGAUGUAGUCUUCUUUGAAAAUAUAGAUUUGAGGAAAGAAUGAAUCUUAAUAUUUACAUUCUAGAGGAAAAGAAGGGUUUAUGUGAUAACCUUCACAUUUAAAGUUGAUAAUUUUCUUUUUUUCUUUUAUCAGAUAAGGAUAUUACAUAAAUCCAAUUUCACAAUUUAGUUUUACUAUUUUUGAAGUAACAGAUCUUGUGGCAUAUUUUUGGGUGGGUUUUUUUUUGUUAAUAUAAUUAUUUUAUUUUUGCCCUUAUGUGAUUCUUACUUUCUAGUAGAAAGUAGCAAAUUUCAUAGCAUCACACAGAAUCACAAAAUCAGCUAGGUUGGAAAAGACCUCUGAGAUCAUCGAGUCCAACCUGUGACCCAACACCACCUUGUCAACUAGACCAUGGCUCUGUGUGCCACAUCCAAUCUCUUCUUAAAUACCUCCAGGGACAGUGAAUCCACCACCUCCCUCCACAGCCCGGUCCAAUGUCUGAUCACUCUCUCCAUAAAGAAUUUCUUCGUAAUGUCUAUCCUAAACCUCCCCUGGCACAUCUUAAAACUGCCCUCUUGUCCUAAUGAUAGUUACCUGGGAGAAGAUACCAGCCCCCACUUGGCUACAACUUCCUUUCAGGUGGUCGUAGAGAGUGAUAAGGUCUCCCUUGAGCCUCCUCUUCUCCAGGCUAAACAUCCUCAGCUCCUCACAGGGCUUGUGCUCCAGUCCCUUCACCAGCCUCAUUGCCCUUUGGACCUGCUCCAGCACCUCAAUAUCCUUCCUAAACUGAGGGGCCCAGAACUGAACACAGUACUCAAGGUGCGGCCUAAUUAGUGCCAAGUACAGGGGCAGAAUCACUUCCCUGGUCCUGCUGGCCACACUGUUCCUGAUCCAGGCCAGGAUGCCACUGACCUUCUUGGCCACCUCGGCACUCUGCUGGCUCCUGUUCAGCUUCAUGUCAAUCAGAACCCCCAGGUCCCUUUCUGCCUGGUUGCUCUCCAGACACUCUGUCCACUGCCUGUAGCGCUGCAUGGGGUUUUUGUGGUCAAAGUGGCACUUGGUCUUAUUAAACAUCAUACCAUUGGAUUGAGCCCAUCUAUCCAUCUUGUCUAGGUCCCUCUGCAGAGCCCUCCUACCCUCCAGCAGAUUGACACUCCCCCCACACUUGGUGUCAUCUGCAAAUUUGCUAAUGGUGGACUCAAUCCCCUCAUCCAAAUCAUCAUUGAAGAUAUUAAACAGGAUUGGGCCCAACACUGAUCCCUGGGGGACACCACUAGUGACCGGCCGCCAACUGGAUGCAGAACCAUUCACCACCACUCUGGACCUGGCCCUCCAGCCAGUUCUUAACCCAGCAGAGAGUGCCCCUGUCCAAGCCGUGGGCUUCCAGCUUUUCCGGAAGUAUGGCAUGGGAGAUGGUAUCAAAGGCUUUGCUGAAGUCCAGGUAAACUACAUCCACAGCCUUCCCCUAAUCCACCAGGCGGGUCAUCUGGUCAUAAAAGGAGAUCAGGUUGGUCAGACAGGACCUGCCCCUCUUAAAUCCAUACUGGCUGGCUCUGAUCCCCUGUCUGUCCUAUAGGUGCCGUGUGAUCGAACUGAAGAUGAUCUGUUCCAUAACCUUGCCAGGCACUGAGGUCAGGCUGACCAGCCUGUAGUUUCCCAGGUCUUCCUUCCAGCCCUUCUUGUGGGUGGCUGUCACAUUGGCCAACUUCCAGUCAUAUGGGACUUUCACUGGUGAUCCAGGACUGUUGAUAAAUGACGGAGAGCGGCUUGAUGAGCUCCCUCAUCACCCUGGGAUGGAUCCCAUCUGGUUCCAUAGACUUGUGGGGAUCCAAGUGGUUCAGCAGGUCACUAACUUCCUCCUGGAUUACAGGGGGGUUGUUCGGCUCCCCAUCCUUGUCUACCAGCUCAGGAGGCCAGUUGUCCUGAGGAUGACCUGUCUUGUUGAAGACUGAGGCAAACAAGAUGUUAAGUACUCAGCCUUCUCUUUGUUAACUAUGUUCCCCUUCAUUCCACUGAGACUGUGAUGGUAAUGUCUUUAGCUCUGUAAUUGAGAAUACCUGGAAAAAUCUUGUGAACUGUUUUGUAAAUAUACUUUCUUACAUUUGACUCCAAUGUGUAAAAUAUAUUGUAUAGUUUAAUCAAUUUUCUUUCUCAUGUAAAUUUCAAACAUUAAUUUCCUUGGGUUUUUUAGUAAUUUGUGAUUAGUUCUCCAGUAUUUUUUUAAAAAUAAAUAGUUAAUCUUUUUAGUGUUAUAUUUAGGCUAUAUAGGAUAUUGUUAAAAAAAGCUAAAAAUGAAAACAAACCUUAGCUCAUUUCAGUUUCUAUAUGUAUCCUUAUCCAUAAAAAGAAAGGAAUAGUUCUGUUUUGUAACCCUGGCAAACUCCAGAUAUUUCCAAAUUUUUAAAUGUGUUUCUAUGUACUUGAGGUUCUUUGCUCUAAAUUUUGCUUUGAUAGCACACUCUAAACUCCCAGAGACAGGAGUUGUGUCCUCUGUAUUUUUUACAUAGUGUCAAGCAUCUGCACUCUCAUGAAGGAAGCUUCUGCUGGGAAAAAAAUAAUCUAUAUUUUGCUAUUAUCUAUAGACCAAUUUUCUAAGCAGAAUAAGCAAAUUUGUCAAAAGGAUUUAGUUGGAUUUUUUUCUUCUUUUUCCAGAAUAACUAUGCUUAUAUUAUUUUUGACGGUAUAAUGGUUGAUUGAGUGUGAGUAAUUAAUUCUAUUCCCCAUAUUUUAAGGGUGAUCUAAUCCUGGAGCAAGUUGCCCAGAUGGGUUAUGGAGUCUCCAUCCCUGGAGAUAAUUAAAACUCAACUGGACACAGCUCUUAACAACCUGCUUUGGUUUUUCAAUGGGACAAGAGACAGAGUUCAACUGCAUUGAUUUAUGAGUGAAUAGCGUGUCCCAUUCAGAUCAUCCUAUGGCUAAUGUCACAGACAAAUGCUGGAGGAAUUCAGUGCUCUUUAACUCAGUUUUCAUAAGCUGCAGUUGCUCAUAGCUGAGAUAAAGGGACUGAUCUAAUUCUGAAUGAAGUCAACAUUUUUCUGAAAUGAGACCUAAGAUUCUUCUUCAGAGCAAUAGGUCAAGAUAAGGAAGCUACACAGUUUUUCUUAUAUGUGUCUCUCAUUCAUUUUGGGGAGACCAUCCUUUGGUCACAGAGUUUGUUGAAGUGACUGGAGAGUCAGUAGUCAUUGGAGCUUGUUCCCUUGUAGAAAAGUUCCAUUCUGCCAAAUGAGGUUGCUCAAUUGAGCUCUUGGCCAACAACUACAAUUAAAAGGAUGAAAAUAUUUCAAGAUGACAAGACAGAAUGGACCCUUAGCAAAUUUACAUGAGGCAAAAUUUGGAAGAGAAUGUUAAGUGACACUCUACAGAAAAACGCUGAGAAACACAGGGGCUGAACCAACAGACACCUAAAAAGUUUAGAAGUGCAAAAGUUCAGCAAUUCAGACAAAACAACCAACUUCAGAAAGGAGAUGAGCUACAGAGACAGCAGAAGAAAACACUUUCUCUGCCACAGGAAAAAGAUGAUCUUAUUGAGCUGGAAGACCAAAAGAUAAUUGUUCAUCAGCAAAGGCAGCCUUCAGUGGACAAUCAGAAUCUGCCUACAGCUAAAGAAGCUCACUGGUGUGAUGCCUUUGUCACUCUUAAAUCCAAUU